ensembl:lncRNA
GGAUGACAAGACUCUGUGUGUUGAUGAGUGGCCGUUUCUUCAAACAGAGUUUUGUGAGAAGGUGAACCAGCCAACUGCUCGGGUUGUCUCUGGACAGAGAAAACAAGAGGAGCCAACACCUUGGGGGCCAAAAGUUGUGAUGGCCCAGGCUGAUAAACCAACAGCCAAUGAGACCAGCUUCUUGGGAUGUUCAACCAAGAUGACACACAUUGAGGACCACGAGCCGUUUGAACCAGCACCUGAGGUCACUGCGAGCAGUCAGCAGCAGAGCCCGCCUGAGGACAAUGGCCAGCUUGAAGAUCCUCAUGUAACACUUGGCAAUCAGAAGGCACCCUGUGAUUUUGCACCUGCCGGAGCUGCUACAUCAAGUCAUGUGACUUAUGACAACCCUGGGUGUCUUCAAGGAUCGUUUGACCAGAGCAGCCACAUAUUCGGGAAAAUGCAGGCUGCAAUAAGCAGUGUGCUACAAAUGGCAUAGCGGCGAUUAUGACCCACACCACCCAUAGCGUUCUCAAAUGGAAAAAAAAGAACAUUCAUCAUAUUCUAAAACUAGGCAAUGGCUUAGUGUGUGUACACAUCUAUGCUAGAAAAUAAGGAAAUCAGUUCAGCCAAAACCAGUGGGCAUAUUUUCAUUUCCGAGUUACCCAGACACUGCAAAUUAAACAAUAAAUUAUUUAGUUUGGAAUAUUUUGAUACACUCG